UGGGGAAUAUUGGACAAUGGGGGCAACCCUGAUCCAGCCAUGCCGCGUGAGUGAUGAAGGCCUUCGGGUUGUAAAGCUCUUUUGGCGGGGACGAUGAUGACGGUACCCGCAGAAUAAGCCCCGGCUAACUUCGUGCCAGCAGCCGCGGUAAGACGAAGGGGGGCUAGCGUUGUUCGGAAUUACUGGACGUAAAGCGAGUGUAGGCGGUUGCCGUAGUCAGGUGUGAAAAGCCUUGAGCUCAACUCAAGAAAUGCACUUGAUACUGGGUGACUAGAGGACCGGAGAGGAUAGUGGAAUUCCCAGUGUAGUGGUGAAAUACGUAGAGAUUGGGAAGAACACCAGUGGCGAAGGCGGCUAUCUGGACGGUUACUGACGCUAAGACUCGAAAGCGUGGGGAGCAAAACAGGAUUAGAUACCCUGGUAGUCCACGCCGUAAACGAUGGGUGCUAGACGUUGGCGAGCUUGCUCGUCAGUGUCGCAGCUAACGCGUUAAGCACCCCGCCUGGGGAGUACGGCCGC
rnacentral:rRNA from 1 species